CGCAGACGUAUCUUGAUUCCUUCCUCCUGUCACGUCAAGACGUAUGACUGCUGUAUUCACGUAGCGAUUCCCCAAAACUCAUAAGAGCCAAGUAAAACUUUUUCAAGGUACAAGAACGCGAGAUGCUCCAUCCUCCUUUCCUCUGGUUUUGGUCCCUUCGCUCCUUCUCGUUCUGAGCUCCAAUGGGCCUCUUUCUUAGUUUAUUUCGCGAAGAAACGCACUCCAAUGAAACUAACACUAACAAUAAGAAUUGCCCUCUCGGGAGCCAUGCACGAAAAUUCCUCCCUGUCCCUACUUUACCGUCGGCCGGCCUGCAGAUUUUCCACGCGAUACGAAUUCCUUUGUUACCAUUCGAGCGUCUCUCAUUUCGCGUCACAUUUAUACCGGAAUGGCGCGAGGCCUCCCGAAGUCUCGUGUAAAGUUUACGCAGUGAAUGUGCAAUUCUAAAGAAAUAGAUAAUCGGUUCUGCUGUAAUAGUGUCUGGAGGAUUAUCAGGCAGAAAGAGCGGUCAGACUCUUAUCGGCUUGCUGGCACAGACGGCGUAACGACGAUACUGGAAACAGCCCUUUCAGGAGCCAUCAAGACUCUCUCGCGGGAGCCAUCAUGUAAACGACCGUCUGUGAAUGGUCAACCAGAAGCCAUAAGCAGUCACGAGUUAAACCUCUCUCUCUCUCUCUCCAGGCCCCCUGGAAAUAGUCAUCAGAGGAAACUAGAAGGAACUUUGAAGAUUCCAUUUUUUAGAUAAACAAAUAGUCCAGACGAAAUAUAAUUAUUUUAAUUUACCACGGAGACAACAAGAUUACGUAAAACUUGUAAAACUUGAUUAAUCAGUUGCCAUAGUUUCUCCGAAGAACUUUGAUGAGGGGAUUUCGAGACUGAUAAGAUUUUCGCAUUUUCUCCGAAGGACCAAAGGAUGAAUGGAGAUAAUAGGUGUCUCGGUCGAUGAGUCUUCCACCCUUCUGACAGAGUAAAAAGUCUUUCGGCCACCUUGGGGAAGCAGCUUAAAACUGAACUUGCCUCGGGUCUCGUUUCUGACGUGUUACGAAUCUGACAUUUUCCAAAGUUUUUACAACGAAACUUCAUCCCCCUCUUUGUUAACCUCAACCAACCACACCGAGUAACUGAAAUUAACCAGCAUGGAUUUCCGUUCCGACCAAUUUUCACCCACUCCGUGCAUUAUUUAAGAUUAUGAAAAAAUUAUUAUCAGCCAGAUUUAUUAACGUUAAUAUUUCUAAAAAUCCAGCAAUUAAAAACUUUCCCAAUUAAGCCAACAGCCGACAUACAUAUAUAAUAAAGACUCAUUAGAGAAUUCGAAAUUAAUGUAUAUACUCGCACUGUUUUCCCACAGCGUGCAUAAAAUCGUCCGAGUCUGAUUCCCAUGAAAACUACCCAGAAUUCCCUUGGCACGCGAGAAAAAGCUGAAAUCAGAGGAGAAAAAUAGUCGCUACUGAUUUAUCAUUCGGUUUAAUCCACUCGGAGAGUCUCGUGC